rnacentral:misc_RNA from 1 species
UAGUUUAUCAAAAUUUAUUUUGGUGUUUGGUUUAAUCCACCUUAAGUGUUUAAAUAAAUCUUUGGAUUGAAAAAAAAAAACUGCUUCUUCGGUAUAUUUAAAAACAUCAAAAGUGCUUAUGUUAAAAAGAAAUGUUAUGUUAAUUACUAGCUUGUAUGAUGAUUAUUGACUUAAAAUAUCAUUUUAGACUCAUAAGAAGUUCCGUUGAAAUUCUUAUGUGUAAGGUGAAAACUUUUUAUAAUUCACUAAAUUCUCUAAUUGAAAGGCCAUCAGACUAUAAAAAGGCAACAUUGAUGACUGUAUGGUAUUUGAGUAUUAUGGAAACAUUACGUCAAAUUGGAGAUAGUUUUGAUUUAAGCAGAGGUCUUGCCUUUCGAACAAUUCAUAAGUUUAUUCGAGUUCUUUCAAAACUACUUAAUGAUUUUAUUUUAUGGCUCAAAGGGAGUUCUAUAACCGAUGAAAACGUCGUAGUGCACGUGCCCGUUUCAAAAAAGUCCGCGUUAUGUUUGGCCGACAACCGCUCGGUAACCAGCAAAUUAACCGGUAACGCGGUUCGCGUGCGCGUUGUUUGGUUGACGAUGGGACGACGCUACGACGCCUCCGCCGGGAUCGCAACUACACCCAGUUAGGGAUAGGGUAUCGACAGUAUGUCAACGACCCCCCACACUCGACCAUUACUGGGCAUUCCGACAUUCCAUCUGUAACACGACAGUGUCCGUUGAUUCGAAACCUAACCAACGUUCUACUGUUGCAGCAAGUGUACGUAAGACGUCGUACCAUUCGUUCAUCUGACGAUCCUUUUCACAUACGCACAAACCGUUCGGAGUUAACUGUUGAAUUUUUGAUACCACAGUGAUCAAAAUGGGCAUAAAUGAUAAACCAAAUAAAUCCAAAUUGAAACCAUUUGUGAUGAGAAAAGGAGAUACGAAGAAGAGAAAUGGAGGAAAAUUCACCAGAGUUCUUUAGGAAUCAAAUGCAGAGAGUGAUUGACAAU